AGGUACCUUUGCUGAGGGAGACACGGGGAUCCCUCUGACUCACUGGCUUCUGGGCUCAUUUUCCUUUGCUGCUGCUUCUGUCACACGUUUCUAACUUGGACCUUGACGUGCUGUUGCUUCAGACAAGCUGUUCAGAUGGGACUGGGACAAAGUGAGGUCCAGCUAAUGUCCUGGGCCUCCUUACAGCUGAUGUCCAUGUAGGAUUUCUAGGGCAAAUAAGUAAAACUUCCUUCUGGUUACAGUCCUCUCAAGUCCUAGAAGGCUGGUAUUGUAAGAAUCUUUUUUUCCCACCUCACAGAUCUCUUCUGUGGAUCCAGUCAAUGUCAAAUGGUUGUGGAUGACCCACAAUUUAGAGAUCUAUUUCUUCUGCCUAGGUUGUCUCAAACUUGGGCAGGAGGACUUUGUCCUGUUUUAAAAAUCCUGCUGAACAACAAUGAUGGCUCAACACUGGCUUUGUUUGCCCUUUUUGUUCUUUUCAUCACCUUAUCCUUCUCCUUAGGUGUGUUGGCUGAAUCAGAAGCUUUGAGCAUGGAAAUGGGGGCAGAAGCCACCUGUGCCACUUCUUAUGUGUGUUUUUUAAAUCACACAGCCUUUUUCUGCAAUUGUAGAAAAAGUGUUUGCUGGUGGGCGGCGUCCUGCUGCAGACCACAGAGGAGGGGGCGUGCGCUCUGCUCCAGCGGAGAGCAGCAAAGGGGUCUUGCAAGCAGCAGGAAGAUCAAGAAAAAAUGAUAAUUCUUGGGACUCUGAGACUGAGUCUGAAGAUGAAGGGAAAGCGUCGGCUGCUGUCCAGCUGCCUGCUGCAAACAGCAACAGGUUGGAUGCGCCCUCUGCUGCAGUGGAACAUGGCAAAGGUAGUUUCAGAGGGACUAAAUGCUUACCUUUGUAAGCCUCUCUGGAGUGAAUCAGAUGCAGAAAAGCAGACUAAAAGAAACACUCAUAGCUGUUGUGUGCUUAUCUUUCCUUAGAAGUCUUGAAACAAACAUGGAGAGAAGUGAAAAAGGAAGAGAGAGUCUUGCAGCCAGCAGCGGAGGAAGCAAAACA
rnacentral:lncRNA from 1 species